GGGAGCAAGAGGAAUAUCAAGUGGACCAGGAGACUGGGGCCUGGCCAUGAUGACCUACUGAUGGCUCACCGGCUUCUGACUGUGGCUAUCUAAACAGAGGCAGGAACCUGUCUGUGUGUUCUCUCCAAACGUCUUUGAAGUGGGAGCAUUUCACAUUUGCGCAGUGAACUGAAGUAAUGCAGAGCUGGAGGUGAACCAGAGGAAAGGUCUGGGACACAGGGUCUGAGAAGAUGAUGAAUCCUAUGCAAGGAUCUUGGGCUUUGGGCUGGGAUAGCAAUGAAGCUGCAAGAGAAAUCCAGUUACAAUUUUAAUGAAAAGCUCUUCCAUCUGCCCAUGGCUCUGCAAGAAAAACAUGCCACGUGUGGCCACCUUUAGUGUGAAACAAGCCCUUGGUUCCCACACAAGGCAAUCAUUUCUCCACAUAGAAUGCCAGAAUGUUCUUUCCUUGGAAAGUUUUGAGGGAGCUCAUAU